rnacentral:rRNA from 1 species
GAUGAACGCUGGCGGCGUGCCUAACACAUGCAAGUCGAGCGAAGCGAUUUGGCGGAAGUUUUCGGAUGGAAGCUAAAUUGACUGAGCGGCGGACGGGUGAGUAACGCGUGGGUAACCUGCCUCAUACAGGGGGAUAACAGUUAGAAAUGACUGCUAAUACCGCAUAAGACCACAGCGCCGCAUGGUGCAGGGGUAAAAACUCCGGUGGUAUGAGAUGGACCCGCGUCUGAUUAGCUGGUUGGUGGGGUAACGGCCUACCAAGGCGACGAUCAGUAGCCGACCUGAGAGGGUGACCGGCCACAUUGGGACUGAGACACGGCCCAA